rfam:Dipodomys ordii contig_35411, whole genome shotgun sequence.
GUGAAGAUGGCUCAGUGGUAGAGUGCUUGCCUUGCAUGCAUGAGGCCCUGGGUUCAAUUCCUCAAGUACACA